GCAAGUCGAACGCGAAAGAGAUCUUCGGAUCUUGAGUAGAGUGGCGGACGGGUGAGUAACGCGUAGGAAUCUGCCUAGUAGUGGGGGAUAGCCCGGAGAAAUCCGGAUUAAUACCGCAUACGCCCUACGGGGGAAAGAUGGCCUCUUCUUGAAAGCUAUCACUAUUAGAUGAGCCUGCGUCGGAUUAGCUAGUUGGUGAGGUAAUGGCUCACCAAGGCGACGAUCCGUAGCUGGUCUGAGAGGACGAUCAGCCACACUGGGACUGAGACACGGCCUUGACUCCUACGGGAGGCNAGCAGUGGGGAAUAUUGGACAAUGAGCGAAAGCUUGAUCCAGCAAUACCGCGUGUGUGAAGAAGGCCUGCGGGUUGUAAAGCACUUUCAGUGGGGAAGAAAAGCUUAAGGUUAAUACCCUUGGGUCUUGACGUUACCCACAGAAGAAGCGCCGGCUAACUCCGUGCCAGCAGCCGCGGUAAUACGGAGGGUGCAAGCGUUAAUCGGAAUUACUGGGCGUAAAGCGCGCGUAGGCGGUUUAGUCAGUCAGAUGUGAAAGCCCCGGGCUCAACCUGGGAACUGCAUUUGAUACUGCUGAACUAGAGUAUGGUAGAGGGAAGUGGAAUUCCGGGUGUAGCGGUGAAAUGCGUAGAUAUCCGGAGGAACACCAGUGGCGAAGGCGACUUCCUGGACCAAUACUGACGCUGAGGUGCGAAAGCGUGGGUAGCAAACAGGAUUAGAUACCCUGGUAGUCCACGCCGUAAACGAUGUCAACUAGCCGUUGGGCUCAUUUAAGGGCUUAGUGGCGCAGCUAACGCGAUUAAG
rnacentral:rRNA from 1 species